rnacentral:rRNA from 1 species
CAGAGUUUGAUCCUGGCUCAGGACGAACGCUGGCGGCGUGCCUAAUACAUGCAAGUCGAGCGGACAGAUGGGAGCUUGCUCCCUGAUGUUAGCGGCGGACGGGUGAGUAACACGUGGGUAACCUGCCUGUAAGACUGGGAUAACUCCGGGAAACCGGGGCUAAUACCGGAUGCUUGUUUGAACCGCAUGGUUCAGACAUAAAAGGUGGCUUCGGCUACCACUUACAGAUGGACCCGCGGCGCAUUAGCUAGUUGGUGAGGUAACGGCUCACCAAGGCGACGAUGCGUAGCCGACCUGAGAGGGUGAUCGGCCACACUGGGACUGAGACACGGCCCAGACUCCUACGGGAGGCAGCAGUAGGGAAUCUUCCGCAAUGGACGAAAGUCUGACGGAGCAACGCCGCGUGAGUGAUGAAGGUUUUCGGAUCGUAAAGCUCUGUUGUUAGGGAAGAACAAGUGCCGUUCAAAUAGGGCGGCACCUUGACGGUACCUAACCAGAAAGCCACGGCUAACUACGUGCCAGCAGCCGCGGUAAUACGUAGGUGGCAAGCGUUGUCCGGAAUUAUUGGGCGUAAAGGGCUCGCAGGCGGUUUCUUAAGUCUGAUGUGAAAGCCCCCGGCUCAACCGGGGAGGGUCAUUGGAAACUGGGGAACUUGAGUGCAGAAGAGGAGAGUGGAAUUCCACGUGUAGCGGUGAAAUGCGUAGAGAUGUGGAGGAACACCAGUGGCGAAGGCGACUCUCUGGUCUGUAACUGACGCUGAGGAGCGAAAGCGUGGGGAGCGAACAGGAUUAGAUACCCUGGUAGUCCACGCCGUAAACGAUGAGUGCUAAGUGUUAGGGGGUUUCCGCCCCUUAGUGCUGCAGCUAACGCAUUAAGCACUCCGCCUGGGGAGUACGGUCGCAAGACUGAAACUCAAAGGAAUUGACGGGGGC